GCACAGCAUUCCAGAUGUUGCCUGACCAGGACAGAGGACAGAGGGAAUAUCGCUUCCACUUUCCUGGUCUUAUUCCUUUUCCCUCCCCCAUUUAUAUAAUUAUAUUUAAUAAAAUAGUUUAUAUUUAUAACUUUAAAAAUGAACUCCUUUUUUUUGUUCCCAACUAGCCUCCUUCCCCAGCUCCAGCUUAUUCUAAGCAUUCCCAACGACUUACUGGCCCUGCUUCCAACUUGUCACCCUCAUUCCUGGCCCUCGCCUCAUUGAUUGCUAUCUCUUCCUCCACCCGCACCCCCUGGUAAUCAGGGAGCUGGAGUUCUGACCACAUUCCAUGGUUGCCAAGAUGCAGCCCAGGCUGGUCCUAUUGGAGGCCAAGAGUAGGAAGCAGGGAAACUGCUGAGGGAGUGAGUGUGGUGGGCAGUUGGAGUGGGGGUCUAGGCUUCCAAGGGGGUGGUAGAAAGUUCGAGGCUUCUUAGACUAAGACUUGUGGAUGGAAAAGGAGACGGGAGACUCGGAGCUCAAAGAGGCUGAAUUGUUCCCAGGGAACGGGAAGCUGGACUAUGACCCACCUCCCAUGUCCAGGGAUCAAAUCAAGUCAGUGGCGAAGUCCGUGGAGUUGCUUCUGUCCGAGGCGGAGCAGAUCCGGAAUCGCUGUAAGCAGCAGAACGCGGAUGCCCGCGUGUUGAUGGAGGAGCUGCGUCAGGAGAACCGUGAGCUGGUGCAGCGCUACCAGCAGGCUGAGCACGAGAUGGAGGAGGUGAAGAAGGCCCUGGGGGAGCUCAUGGAAACCAAGGCGGCCUUCGAUGCCCAUGAGAGGCAGCUUCGAGAGGCAGCUGAACAGGGGCUGUGAGGGGCCGUGGCGAUGGUGGGGAGCCCACUCUUCCAGGGGGCGGAGAGGGGCCUGUCUCUGGCCCCUGGCCUAGAUAAUCCUGCCUGCCCACUCGCUGGCCUUGUUAAGAGCUGCAGAACAAGCCUUCAAAUAGAGCCGUUAAACCAUAUUCAUAUGAGCCAUAGUCCUGAGAAACAGCUCCCCAGACACAUCAGGGAGGUGGGAUGCUUAGGAUUGUAGAUAUGGAGCUGAAGGGACCUUAGUGGAUACUUAGUCUAACUUCCUUAAUUUUACAGACGAGGAAACUGGGGCUGAGCAAGGCAAAUAAGGGUCUCAGGCAGGGUUUGGGCCCGAGUCUUCUUGACUCCAAGGCUGGCGCUCUACUGGAUGGACAGCAGUAGCCCCACAGCUGGAGGUGGGGGGGGCGUCUCCUCUCCAAGGAGUGGGAAGUCUUCUGAAGUCCCCUUCAGUGUAGGAGAGAGAAGCCCAGAGGUUUAUGCAUCCUGACCACCCUAGGGAAGAACCGGCCCCAGAGGUUUGGGAGCAUGUCCCCGCUCACCCAGGCUGUGGGAAGGGUUUAGUGGAUUCCAAUCUGGACCAGCAAAGAGCAGGGUCAUGGCAGCCAAGAAAACCCCGUGAGAUUUUAGGAAGCAUUAGGAGGGCAGAACACUCAGAGCGACAUCAAGUCAAGCUUUUAUUAAGUACCUACUGUGUGCCAGGCACUGUGCUGAGUGCUGCUGGGAUACAAAGAAAGACAAACAUCUCUUGUCACUAGCCUCUGUUGGGCCUCCCUGUGUCCUGCCCUGGUUCAGGUCACACACGGAGUAUUACACUCUGUCUGUGCCUUAGGCCUGGCAGGGCCUAACCCCACAAGGCGUAAAGGUUACCUUCUCCCUUCCACUCCGAAAAACAAACACCAGUUCUCCCUCUACCUAGUGGAUUGGCAUGCAUCCCUGGCGAAGCAUGAGUCAGCCCAAGAUCUCUGCUAGUUUGAUCAGGCACCCCUAGGGUGA
rnacentral:lncRNA from 1 species